GAUGAAGAACGCAGCGAAAUGCGAUACUUGGUGUGAAUUGCAGAAUCCCGUGAACCAUCGAGUCUUUGAACGCAAGUUGCGCCCGAAGCCGUCAGGCCGAGGGCACGCCUGCCUGGGCGUCACACGCCGUUGCCCCCCCGCGCCCCGCACCCAACGCUUUGGGAGCGACCGCGGGGCGGGCUGAUGAUGGCCUCCCGUGCGCUCCGCCGCGCGGUUGGCCCAAAUACCGAGUCCCCGGCGACGUGCGCCACGGCGAUCGGUGGUUGAGAGACCUCUGUCGCAAGUCGUGCGCGCCCGUCGCGUCACGCGGGCUCGCAUAGCGCCUCGCGCCGCACCCGGUGCGGAGCUUUCAACGCGACCCCAGGUCAGGCGGGGUUACCCGCUGAAUUUAAGCAUAUCAAUAAGCGGAGGA
rnacentral:misc_RNA from 1 species